AUGAACGCUGGCGGCGUGCCUAAUACAUGCAAGUCGAGCGAACGGACGAGAAGCUUGCUUCUCUGAUGUUAGCGGCGGACGGGUGAGUAACACGUGGAUAACCUACCUAUAAGACUGGGAUAACUUCGGGAAACCGGAGCUAAUACCGGAUAAUAUUUUGAACCGCCUGGUUCAAAAGUGAAAGACGGUCUUGCUGUCACUUAUAGAUGGAUCCGCGCUGCAUUAGCUAGUUGGUAAGGUAACGGCUUACCAAGGCAACGAUGCAUAGCCGACCUGAGAGGGUGAUCGGCAACACUGGAACUGAGACACGGUCCAGACUCCUACGGGAGGCAGCAGUAGGGAAUCUUCCGCAAUGGGCGAAAGCCCGACGGAGCAACGCCGCGUGAGUGAUGAAGGUCUUCGGAUCGUAAAACUCUGUUAUUAGGGAAGAACAUAUGUGUAAGUAACUAUGCACAUCUUGACGGUACCUAAUCAGAAAGCCACGGCUAACUACGUG
rnacentral:rRNA from 1 species